rnacentral:rRNA from 1 species
GAUGAACGCUGGCGGCGUGCCUAAUACAUGCAAGUCGAGCGAACAGAUAAGGAGCUUGCUCCUUUGACGUUAGCGGCGGACGGGUGAGUAACACGUGGGUAACCUACCUAUAAGACUGGAAUAACUCCGGGAAACCGGGGCUAAUGCCGGAUAACAUUUAGAACCGCAUGGUUCUAAAGUGAAAGAUGGUUUUGCUAUCACUUAUAGAUGGACCCGCGCCGUAUUAGCUAGUUGGUAAGGUAACGGCUUACCAAGGCAACGAUACGUAGCCGACCUGAGAGGGGGAUCGGCCACACGGGAACUGAGACACGGUCCAGACUCCUACGGGAGGCAGCAGUAGGGAAUCUUCCGCAAUGGGCGAAAGCCUGACGGAGCAACGCCGCGUGAGUGAUGAAGGUCUUCGGAUCGUAAAACUCUGUUAUUAGGGAAGAACAAAUGUGUAAGUAACUGUGCACGUCUUGACGGUACCUAAUCAGAAAGCCACGGCUAACUACGUG